UGGGGAAUAUUGGACAAUGGGCGAAAGCCUGAUCCAGCCAUGCCGCGUGUGUGAAGAAGGUCUUCGGAUUGUAAAGCACUUUAAGUUGGGAGGAAGGGCAGUAAGCGAAUACCUUGCUGUUUUGACGUUACCGACAGAAUAAGCACCGGCUAACUCCGUGCCAGCAGCCGCGGUAAUACAGAGGGUGCAAGCGUUAAUCGGAAUUACUGGGCGUAAAGCGCGCGUAGGUGGUUCGUUAAGUUGAAUGUGAAAGCCCCGGGCUCAACCUGGGAACUGCAUCCAAAACUGGCGAGCUAGAGUAGGGCAGAGGGUGGUGGAAUUUCCUGUGUAGCGGAGAAAUGCGUAGAUAUAGGAAGGAACACCAGUGGCGAAGGCGACCACCUGGGCUCAUACUGACACUGAGGUGCGAAAGCGUGGGGAGCAAACAGG
rnacentral:rRNA from 1 species